AGUGAACGCUGGCGGCGUGCCUAAUACAUGCAAGUCGAACGAAGUGGCGCACGGGCGGGUAAUAUAUAGUUAAUCUGCUCCACACUGAGGAACAACAGCUGGAAAAGACUGUUAAUACUACAUAGUGUAGGAUGAGACGAUAACGUAUCAGCUAGUUGGUAAGGUAAUGGCUUACCAAGGGUAUGACGCGUAACUGGUGUGAGAGGAUGAUCAGUCAACUUCGACGUGAGACACGGUGCAAGCACCUACGGGAAGGGGCAGAAGGGUGUAAUGCGCAAUCGGGGAGUCCGUGGCGGGGCUACGGGGUGUGGAGGAUGACACUUUUCGAGGAAGAAACUCCGUUUAACAGGCACGCGGUACCUGAAGAAGAAGCACCGGCUAACUCCGUGCCAGCAGCCGCGGUAAUUC
rnacentral:rRNA from 1 species